GAUGAACGCUAGCGGCAGGCUUAAUACACGCAAGUCGAGGGGCAGCACAGGUAGCAAUACUGGGUGGUAACCGGCAAACGGGUGCGGAACACGUACACAACCUUCCUUUAAGUGGGGGAUAGCCCAGAGAAAUUUGGAUUAAUACCCCGUAAUAUAGUUGAAUGGCAUCAUUUGAUUAUUAUAGCUACGGCGCUUAAUGAUGGGUGUGCGGCUGAUUAGAUAGUUGGCGGGGUAACGGCCCACCAAGUCUACGAUCAGUAGCUGAUGUGAGAGCAUGAUCAGCCACACGGGCACUGAGACACGGGCUCGACUCCUACGGGAGGCAGCAGUAAGGAAUAUUGGUCAAUGAACGCAAGUCUGAACCAGCCAUGCCGCGUGAAGGAUUAAGGUCCUCUGGAUUGUAAACUUCUUUUAUUUGGGACGAAAAAGGGCCUUUCUAGGUCAACUGACGGUACCAGAUGAAUAAGCACCGGCUAACUCCGUGCCAGCCGCCGCAGUAACAC
rnacentral:rRNA from 1 species